rnacentral:tRNA from 1 species
GGGGAUGUAGCUCAAAUGGUAGAGCACUCGCUUUGCAUGCGAAAGGCACGAGCUUCAAUCCCUCGCAUCUCCA